GGUGGCCAGUUGCCCUAGUCUCCCACUCCCAGCCCUCUUCCGAAUCCCGAUCAGUCGAUCCCCUUCCCCGACUUGCUGCGGCGUAGCUCCUUCUCCAUUUUGCGGCCAAUCCUCCACCUCCAAGGCUCCAACCAGCUCUGUUGGUCUGCCCCCGUUGCCUUCAAAGGACCAACAAGCCGUGAAGGUGAAGCACUUCGGUAGUUCGAACGCUGAAGCCCCUCUGCCUCCUCCUUUCACCACCGCCCGACGCCCCGACCCCGCCACGUUCCGCCUCCCUUCGCCCGCAUGCUGCGCCGCUGGCCAUGAAGCCCGGCUCCAUAGACAGCACCACCGAAACCCCCCACACCCUUCAAACCCCCCUUCACCCCUGCCUCCCUCCAAACCCCUCUCGCCCUCCAAACCCCUCCGGCCCUCCCUCUCCUCCGAAUCCCUCACCCCUUCCCCUCCAAACCCCCACACCACACUACAAGACCCAUCUGGACCUCGACAACUUGACCCCUUGACUUGCUCCUCCCGGACCUUCCCCAACCCCGACCCUGACUUGCUGCGGCACUGACCUCUGACCCUGACUUGCUGGUGAGUUCCUUCUUCUUUCCUCAACGUCCAUCAUCUCUUUGCUCAUCACUCCUCAGCUCCUCUAUUGUUUUGAGUUUUUCCAUCAUUUCUCUUUCUUUU
rnacentral:lncRNA from 1 species